rnacentral:tRNA from 1 species
GAGGGUAUAGCUCAACAGUAGAGUGCAUGCCUAGCAUGCAUGAGGUCCUGGGUUCAAUCCCCAGUUCUUCCA